GGACUACCAGGGUAUCUAAUCCCGUUUGCUCCCCUAGCUUUCGCGCCUCAGCGUCAGAAAAGGUCCAGCACGCCGCUUUCGCCACCGGAGUUCCUAACGAUAUCAACGCAUUUCACCGCUCCACCGUUAGUUCCGCAUGCCCCUACCUUCCUCGAGGCCGACAGUAUCUAAGGCAGUUCCACGGUUGAGCCGCGGGAUUUCACCCCAGACUUGUCAGCCCGCCUACGCGCCCUUUAAGCCCAGUGAUUCCGAACAACGUUCGCACGGUUCGUCUUACCGCGGCUGCUGGCAC
rnacentral:rRNA from 1 species